UGUGCGCUGGUGCAGACGUGUGUGCAGGAAGAGGCCGGGUGGUGGUGCAGACAUCCAGGGAGUCCUGGGCUAGGAGCUGGAACGCCGGGCUUCUCUCUGCCACGUGGUAGCCUGUAACCUUGGAGCUCAACCUCCCCAAACUUCUAUUUGUCCAGCUGCAAAAUGGGGACGCUAAGAACCUCCCUCACACGGUUAAGAAGAUGCAAACAAACGGACGAAGCAGCCAGCAAGGCCUUUUCAAGACAUCAAUCACAUGAUUUCCUCCAGUGGCUCCACUGCACUUAAAAUAAAUUCAAACCCUCAUCGUUGGUGAUGUCUUUCAAAUGGGCCACUCUAGACCGAGGAAGGAGGAACUGUUACAAACGACAUUAGGACAACAUGGGACCUGGAACUGUCCCUGGCACCGAGCCCUACCCUGGGCUUCUUCCCACCCGCUUUGUCCUCACCCCCAUUUCUGCAUGACUGGCCCCAAUCUUAGCAGAAAUGAGAUAAACUCUCACCUCCUUGUCCCUGACAUCCUACUGCCAGUCAUUCUCCGUGCAAUUACUCAGUGUUUGUUCCUUUAUAGCGUUUCCCGCUAUCUGGGUUUAUCUUUUUUAUUUGUUUGCUUCUUUGUGGUUUUCCCAGCCCCUCCCUCCAUAAACAUCAUGACAGUAAA